GACGAACGCUGGCGGCGUGCCUAAUACAUGCAAGUUGAGCGAUGAAGAUUGGUGCUUGCACCAAUUUGAAGAGCAGCGAACGGGUGAGUAACGCGUGGGGAAUCUGCCUUUGAGCGGGGGACAACAUUUGGAAACGAAUGCUAAUACCGCAUAACAACUUUAAACAUAAGUUUUAAGUUUGAAAGAUGCAAUUGCAUCACUCAAAGAUGAUCCCGCGUUGUAUUAGCUAGUUGGUGAGGUAAAAGCUCACCAAGGCGAUGAUACAUAGCCGACCUGAGAGGGUGAUCGGCCACAUUGGGACUGAGACACGGCCCAAACUCCUACGGGAGGCAGCAGUAGGGAAUCUUCGGCAAUGGACGAAAGUCUGACCGAGCAACGCCGCGUGAGUGAAGAAGGUUUUCGGAUCGUAAAACUCUGUUGGUAGAGAAGAACGUUGGUGAGAGUGGAAAGCUCAUCAAGUGACGGUAACUACCCAGAAAGGGACGGCUAACUACGUG
rnacentral:rRNA from 1 species